GUGAAUUGUAACCGCGUUGAGAGCACUAUAGUCCACACAAAAAGGCCAAGUGCUGUCUUUUUUUGUGGAUGAGAAUAACUGGAGAUGAAAAUGGACUAGUGUUAGGUCGAAUAAUCCCAUCGUUGAGCAUUUUAGUAACCAAUUUUUCCAUCUCUUUUUUUUAAAUACGGAUACUGAUAAAGAUGUACCUGAACCGGAUUUGUGCUGGGUAGGAGAUGAAUUGCAUGGUCACGGGUAUUUGACAGUGGAAGACCCUGUGGUUUAGUGAAGAUAUCUUAAAAUUAAGCCAAAAUGGAAGCAAUAUCAGAUGGAUAGUAAUAUACUGACCUCUUGGAGGUGGGUAUUACUUCUAGGCGAUAAAAUUUAGCAAUGACCUGUAUUGACGACAAUCGAUGAAGAGCAUUGUAUUGGAUGGCCUGAGC
rnacentral:lncRNA from 1 species